rnacentral:rRNA from 1 species
GACGAACGCUGGCGGCGUGCUUAACACAUGCAAGUCGAACGGACAGGCCCGGCUUCUGCGGGCGGCUCGGGAGGCGAACGGGAGAGAAACAUGUGUGUAACCUGGCUCCGACUAAGGGAAAAUAUCAGGAAACGUGGCCUAAUACCGGAUAGGUGAUCCUGCAGCAUGGGGCGGGUUGGAGAGUUGCGGCGGGUGGGGAUGGACUCGCGGCAUGUCAGCUUGUCGUUGGGGUUGUGGCUUGGCAAGGCUCUGACGCGUAGCCGGCCUGGGAGGGUGAGCGGCCACGUUGGGACUGGGAUACGGCCCAGACUCCUACGGGACGCAGCGGUGGGGAAUGUUGCACAGUAGGCGGGAGCCUGAUGUGGCCCCGCCGCGUGCGGUAUGUCAGCCUUCGGGUUGUAUACCGCAUUCGCCUGUGCCGAGGCGUUAGUGACGGUAACGGGUGAAGAAGCACCGGCUAACUACGUG